rnacentral:rRNA from 1 species
GACGAACGCUGGCGGCGUGCUUAACACAUGCAAGUCGAACGAAGAGCGAUGGAAGCUUGCUUCUAUCAAUCUUAGUGGCGAACGGGUGAGUAACGCGUAAUCAACCUGCCCUUCAGAGGGGGACAACAGUUGGAAACGACUGCUAAUACCGCAUACGAUCUAAUCUCGGCAUCGAGGAUAGAUGAAAGGUGGCCUCUACAUGUAAGCUAUCACUGAAGGAGGGGAUUGCGUCUGAUUAGCUAGUUGGAGGGGUAACGGCCCACCAAGGCGAUGAUCAGUAGCCGGUCUGAGAGGAUGAACGGCCACAUUGGGACUGAGACACGGCCCAGACUCCUACGGGAGGCAGCAGUGGGGAAUCUUCCGCAAUGGACGAAAGUCUGACGGAGCAACGCCGCGUGAGUGAUGACGGCCUUCGGGUUGUAAAGCUCUGUUAAUCGGGACGAAAGGCCUUCUUGCGAAUAGUGAGAAGGA